UUUGUUUCAUAAUUGGUUACUAUAUAAAUAUAUAAUUUAAUGUCCUCUAUCAUUGCCCACCACGCAUCUUUGGGUAUACAAAAUUUUAUUUUGAAGGGGAUGACCGGAUGUCCCCCUGACAGCGGCUCUGGUAGUUUGACGUUUGAGUCCGCGAGCGCUGUCUGGGGCUACACAGCUGCUGUAGCCGCGAGCCAAGCGCGCAGUGACACACGCGCUCCGAACAACAACCCAGCCGUCCUCAUUGAGGUCCGGCGAGGUGUUCGUUGUUUGUCUGGUGGCAAGAUGCGACCAGAGGGAGGAGGAGACGGAGGAGCAGGUGCGGGAGAAAUGAGCCUUCUGAGCGGAAACCUGACAGACGCGUUUUGUCUCAGGAGAACAAUACAGCCUGAUUAAACCAGGUGCAGGUUUCCAGCUGGAAGAUUAACUACUAUGGCUGACAUUUCCUGCAUGGCGUAAAUAUAUACACAUAUAGAAGCACGUCAGAGCCAGUAACAGGAGUUGAUUCGGCAAUAAAGGUAUAAUUAUUGAAAUAUGCCCCACUGAAAAUACAUUUAGUUUUUUUUUAUAUGCAUGUUAGAGCAAAUAGAGGUAGGUAGUGUAUAUUUAUGACAGGCAAUGCUUAAGGGGGAAAAGAAAAGUGCCAUGUCCCAAAAUAAAAUGCAGGCUAGGAUAAACAUCACCCUCUAGUUUUUAUAUAUUACCCCCCCAAAAAACUGAAAAUAAUUAUAAAAAAUAAGAUUUAGUUAUACA